rnacentral:lncRNA from 10 species
UGGAGGCUGAAGCAGGAGAAUGGCGUGAACCUGGGAGGCGGAGCUUGCAGUGAGCUGAGAUCGCGCCACUGCACUCCAGCCUGGGGGACAGAGCAAGACUCCGUCUCAAAAAAAAAGAGAAGCGACCACCUUGUUAACCCACUGUAUUAGUCAGGGUUCUCCAGAGGGACAGAGCUAAUAGGAUAGAUAUAUGAAAGGGAGUUUAUUAGGGAGAAUUGGCUCACACAGUCACAAAGCAAAGUCCCGUGAUAAGCCAUCUGCAAGCUGGGUAAGAAAGAAGCCACUGGCGGCUCAGUCCGAGUCCAAAAGCCUCAAAGGCAGGAAAGCCAAUAGUGCAGCCUUCAGUCUGUACCCAAAGGCCCAAGAGCCCUGGCAAACCACUGGUCUAAGUACAAGAGUGCAAAGGCCAAAGAACUUGGAGUCUGAUGUCCAAGGUUAGGAGAAAUGAAUAGAAGCAUCCAGCACAGAAGAAAGAUGAAAGCCAGAGGACUCCGAAAGCCGGCUUAGCCCACCUUCUUCCACCUGCUUUGCUCU